rnacentral:rRNA from 1 species
UACAGGGGGUGCAAACGUUGCUCGGAAUUAUUGGGCGUAAAGCGCGCGUAGGCGGCUACUUAAGUCGGAUGUGAAAGCCCUUGGCUUAACUGAGGAAGUGCAUCCGAAACUGGCAGGCUAGAGUACUAAAGAGGGUCGCGGAAUUCCCGGUGUAGAGGUGAAAUUCGUAGAUAUCGGGAGGAACACCGGUGGCGAAGGCGGCGACCUGGGUAGAUACUGACGCUGAGGUACGAAAGCGUGGGGAGCAAACAGG